AUUGAACGCUGGCGGCAGGCUUAACACAUGCAAGUCGAGCGGGGUGAUGGUGCUUGCACUAUCACUUAGCGGCGGACGGGUGAGUAAUGCUUAGGAAUCUGCCUAUUAGUGGGGGACAACAUCUCGAAAGGGAUGCUAAUACCGCAUACGUCCUACGGGAGAAGGCAGGGGAUCACUUGUGACCUUGCGCUAAUAGAUGAGCCUAAGUCGGAUUAGCUAGUUGGUGGGGUAAAGGCCUACCAAGGCGACGAUCUGUAGCGGGUCUGAGAGGAUGAUCCGCCACACUGGGACUGAGACACGGCCCAGACUCCUACGGGAGGCAGCAGUGGGGAAUAUUGGACAAUGGGGGGAACCCUGAUCCAGCCAUGCCGCGUGUGUGAAGAAGGCCUUAUGGUUGUAAAGCACUUUAAGCGAGGAGGAGGCUCUUUUAGUUAAUACCCAAGAUGAGUGGACGUUACUCGCAGAAUAAGCACCGGCUAACUCUGUGCCAGCAGCCGCAGUAA
rnacentral:rRNA from 1 species